rnacentral:tRNA from 1 species
GUGGCUAUAGCUCAGGUGGUAGAGCAUCGCGUUGUGGUCGCGAGGGUCGCGGGUUCAAGUCCCGUUAGCCACC